UUAGGGCAAGUCUGGUGCCAGCAGCCGCGGUAAUUCCAGCUCCAAUAGCGUAUAUUAAAGUUGUUGCAGUUAAAAAGCUCGUAGUUGAAUUUCGGGGUUAGUAGGUUGGUCAUGCCUCUGGUAUGUACUGGUCUCACUGAUUCCUCCUUCCUGAUGAGCCGUAAUGCCAUUAAUUUGGUGUUGCGGGGAAUUUGGACUGUUACUUUGAAAAAAUUAGAGUGUUUAAAGCAAGCUAACGCUUGAAUACAUUAGCAUGGAAUAAUGAAAUAGGACGUUCGAUCCUAUUUUGUUGGUUUCUAGGAUUGACGUAAUGAUUAAUAGGGAUAGUUGGGGGCAUUAGUAUUCAAUUGUCAGAGGUGAAAUUCUUGGAUUUAUUGAAGACUAACUACUGCGAAAGCAUUUGCCAAGGAUGUUUUCAUUAAUCAAGAACGAAAGUUAGGGGAUCGAAGACGAUCAGAUACCGUCGUAGUCUUAACCAUAAACUAUGCCGACUAGGGAUCGGAUGAUGUUAAUUUUUUAAUGACUCAUUCGGCGCCUUACGGGAAACA
rnacentral:rRNA from 1 species